GGCGAGGUAGUUCAGCGGUAGAACGCGAGUCUCAUAAGCUCGAUGUUGUGGGUUCAACUCCCACCCUCGCCA
rnacentral:tRNA from 1 species